UUCUGAUUUAGUAGGUCUGGGGUAUCAUCUAGGGUUUUGCAUUUUAAAUGGUCUUGCUGAUGCUGAUCCUCUAUGGAGUCUUACUGAGCAGUAAGACCCUAGUAGUAGUUCCAAUUCUAUAUCUCUACCACAAAGCACUUUAGAGCAGCCCCUCCCAGAAUCCUGUCAGAUAGAUCCUUUCCAUACUCCAUCUCACCACUCAGCUAAAGCCUAAACCCACACAAUGAGGAAGCCAUCACCAGGUUGACAGGUAAAGGUUGAGGAGGAAAUUCUCACAUUCAAGAUGAUGCUGUCAUUAUAAUGAAGUAAGAUGGAACAAAAAGUUGUAUGUGAAGUACCCUGGGCAAGCCCCUUUGAUAGUUUUAGCUACAGAUGCCUGUGUGUUUGCAAUGUGGGCCUCUUAUGGCUGUAUUCUAUUAGCUCUGGGUUUACUGUGAUAUUAUGUAUAUUUGUCUUGGGCCAAACAGCUUGCUUGCCUCAGUUGAAGUCUAAAAGAUACUAUGGGCUUAAGACACUUUUUGUUUAUUUGCUAUUUGAGGUGAAUUAUUCCUUCUUUGCUUCUUUGCUAUUCAUAAUAUUAUGAUAUAUAAUUUUGGCUAUGCAAUUGUGUAAUCUUUUCUAUAAUAUUAUUUUGGGCUUCUGUAUAAAAGCUUAAAAAUAUGUUCCACGAAUGAGAUGCUUAUGCUUGUUUAUUCAAUAUUUUUUUCUGUUGGACUUUGGACAAAGUCUUGCCUAGUGGGAUUCACAUAUAAGGAAAGCUUUUUUUUCUUGUUACUCACAGAAUUACGAUGUUUAAAAUAGCUAUUUGAGUUCAAUGAUACUAUACUUUCCAUAAUAAAUUUAGAGUACUUUUUUCACUUCAAAGAAUGCUUUUGAGUUUUCCAUGAAUAGGUUUCACUAACUACAUUUUUAAAAAGACCUUAGCUCUGAGGUUUAUCCUCUUUUACAUCUUAAGGUACAUUUUUCAUGAUUUCUAAAAUAUUUGCUUUUUAAAAAUACUAGGACUGUUAAUUUUAAAAAUUCAUUUUUCAAAAUUUUCAGAAAUUUUAAUAUUAAGAAUCUGUUUAAUUUUUUUUAUUUCUUGGUCAAGGCAGUCAUAUGGUUUGAGAUUUCUCAGUUCUUUAAAAUGGGAGUUCAUAAAUUCAACCUGUUCUAAGCUAACUGUAGUGAUUCCUAGCUGUCGUUUACUUAACACUAUUAACCAUUAAACACUACUGACAUCUCAACUCAAAACAUACACUUAGGUAUAGGAAAUAGUAUACAAACAUUUUAUUUAACCAUAUCGUAUGCAGAAAAUUUAAAAUUUGAAUCUUUCUUAUAGUCCUUGGACUCAAAUCUUCAUGCAAAUACAAUUUAUAUAAUCAAUUAUAUUUGACUUGUGUUUUUUAAAGUGGCUAAGGAAAUGAGUACCAACUUAUUAGGGAAUAUUUGAUGAAUAUUUUUCGUUUUGGUUGAACAAAUGACUACGUAGAGUUAUAUUUACUUCAAAAUCAAUAAAAUACCACUAUUAACCUUGCUCUGACGCUCCCACCCCCACCCUUCAACUCGUAGAAUAUUUUUUGGUGGUAACUAGACUGACCUUUGCCAAAAUGUAAUUACAUUCAGAGAGAAAUACAAUUUUCCCCUUCAAAUCCAGGUGAAAGGCUACCAUGCUGGGCUUGCGGAGGGCAUAGUUGAGUAGGACAGCCAGAACUUCUGGCUAGGUCAUCGGGUCGGAUUACCCUGCCAUGUACCCCUCAGUAUUUACUUCCAGAGAUGGGCAACUUACUAUAGUCUUCAUGUUUAAGGAAUUCAAACCCAAAUGAAAAGUGUUGUGAAAGCAUAAAUAUCUCUGCUUGUAUACUACAGUACUGAAUAUGAAACCACAUAUUGCAAUAAAAAUAACUAACGAUGGCCCAUGCAUUUCACAAGGCGCUCUCAUACACCUGAAGGGGCAGUGGAAAGGUUCAGAGCACCCAGGCUGUCCCAAAGAGGGCGGAAUCAAAUCUGGGCGCAGGUGGGUACCCGGAAAAAAUUCUUGGUGGAGAUGGCAUCUGAGAGAGGCGUCGAAGGACACGGAGGGUUGAGGAUAGGAGAGAGGCCACUCCAGAUGGAAAAACACCCUCGUUUUCCAAAUGCCAGUUAUACCACGGGGCCUGUGAUAGCCGCCACGUUUCUAGAAGACCCCUAGAAGAGCAGGGGUCCGACCAAGGAAGUACUUCCGCUGUUCAAUUUGCUAAGUUUGCAUUCGGAGAGUACAAGGGCGAGCUCUGGCUCUUGCAGGUGGACUCCCUCUCCCUUAGCUCUGACUGCGAGAAGCUCCCACCCGCAAAGGGCUACUGUGCCAAAAGCGAGCGUAGUGGCCGCCGCUUCCCCCACAAAAUUCCG
rnacentral:lncRNA from 1 species